GUGGGUGCGGCUGUUAAAGAGUGCAGGGACUUGGGCUUCGCAGUGACAGACAUUGACAAGGCACAAGCUGGAACACACCGAGAGACGGGCAGCAGCAGCAGCAGUGAAAUACUUGAGACAGACUGACUGAAAUUGAGAGUUAGACAGGGACAGACGCAGAUUUAAUUGACGAAAAGGUUGGACAACGUCUAUCAUCAUAUUCGAAACAUUUGUUGCGGCACAGAAAGUAGAACAAUCCACCUCAAUAAGAAUUACAAGCAACGCACAAGUUGUU